rnacentral:rRNA from 1 species
CACGCAGGCGGUCUGUCAAGUCGGAUGUGAAAUCCCCGGGCUCAACCUGGGAACUGCAUUCGAAACUGGCAGGCUAGAGUCUUGUAGAGGGGGGUAGAAUUCCAGGUGUAGCGGUGAAAUGCGUAGAGAUCUGGAGGAAUACCGGUGGCGAAGGCGGCCCCCUGGACAAAGACUGACGCUCAGGUGCGAAAGCGUGGGGAGCAAACAGGAUUAGAUACCCUGGUAGUCCACGCUGUAAACGAUGUCGAUUUGGAGGUUGUGCCCUUGAGGCGUGGCUUCCGGAGCUAACGCGUUAAAUCGACCGCCUGGGGAGUACGGCCGCAAGGUUAAAACUCAAAUGAAUUGACGGGGGCCCGCACAAGCGGUGGAGCAUGUGGUUUAAUUCGAUGCAACGCGAAGAACCUUACCUGGUCUUGACAUCCACAGAACUUUCCAGAGAUGGAUUGGUGCCUUCGGGAACUGUGAGACAGGUGCUGCAUGGCUGUCGUCAGCUCGUGUUGUGAAAUGUUGGGUUAAGUCCCGCAACGAGCGCAACCCUUAUCCUUUGUUGCCAGCGGUUAGGCCGGGAACUCAAAGGAGACUGCCAGUGAUAAACUGGAGGAAGGUGGGGAUGACGUCAAGUCAUCAUGGCCCUUACGACCAGGGCUACACACGUGCUACAAUGGCAUAUACAAAGAGAAGCGACCUCGCGAGAGCAAGCGGACCUCAUAAAGUAUGUCGUAGUCCGGAUUGGAGUCUGCAACUCGACUCCAUGAAGUCGGAAUCGCUAGUAAUCGUAGAUCAGAAUGCUACGGUGAAUACGUUCCCGGGCCUUGUACACACCGCCCGUCACACCAUGGGAGUGGGUUGCAAAAGAAGUAGGUAGCUUAACCUUCGGGAGGGCGCUUACCACUUUGUGAUUCAUGACUGGG